UAUGUUUUAGUAUAUGGGGUAUAUUAAUUUUUGAUAUUAAUGGAAAUAGUUUAAGUCUAUUAAACAUAA
rnacentral:tRNA from 1 species